rnacentral:rRNA from 1 species
CUUGAGUGCAGAAGAGGAGAGUGGAACUCCAUGUGUAGCGGUGGAAUGCGUAGAUAUAUGGAAGAACACCAGUGGCGAAGGCGGCUCUCUGGUCUGCAACUGACGCUGAGGCUCGAAAGCAUGGGUAGCGAACAGGAUUAGAUACCCUGGUAGUCCAUGCCGUAAACGAUGAGUGCUAAGUGUUGGGAGGUUUCCGCCUCUCAGUGCUGCAGCUAACGCAUUAAGCACUCCGCCUGGGGAGUACGACCGCAAGGUUGAAACUCAAAGGAAUUGACGGGGGCCCGCACAAGCGGUGGAGCAUGUGGUUUAAUUUGAAGCAACGCGAAGAACCUUACCAGGUCUUGACAUCCAGUGCAAACCUAAGAGAUUAAGAGUUCCCUUCGGGGACGCUGAGACAGGUGGUGCAUGGCUGUCGUCAGCUCGUGUCGUGAGAUGUUGGGUUAAGUCCCGCAACGAGCGCAACCCUUGUCAUUAGUUGCCAUCAUUAAGUUGGGCACUCUAAUGAGACUGCCGGUGACAAACCGGAGGAAGGUGGGGAUGACGUCAAGUCAUCAUGCCCCUUAUGACCUGGGUUACACACGUGCUACAAUGGACGGUACAACGAGAAGCGAACCUGCGAAGGCAAGCGGAUCUGUGAAAGCCGUUCUCAGUUCGGACUGUAGGCUGCAACUCGCCUACAAGAAGCUGGAAUCGCUAGUAAUCGCGGAUCAGCACGCCGCGGUGAAUACGUUCCCGGGCCUUGUACACACCGCCCGUCACACCAUGAGAGUCUGUAACACCCAAAGCCGGUGGGAUAACCUUUAUAGGAGUCAGCCGU